UCCGGAAUUAUUGGGCGUAAAGCGUCCGCAGGUGGCUGUUCAAGUCUGCUGUCAAAGCGCAGAGCUUAACUCUGUACAGGCGGUGGAAACUGAAGAGCUAGAGUAUGGUAGGGGUAGAGGGAAUUCCCGGUGUAGCGGUGAAAUGCGUAGAUAUCGGGAAGAACACCAGUGGCGAAAGCGCUCUACUGGGCCAUAACUGACACUGAGGGACGAAAGCUAGGGGAGCGAAAGGG
rnacentral:rRNA from 1 species